rnacentral:rRNA from 1 species
GACGAACGCUGGCGGCGUGCUUAACACAUGCAAGUCGAGCGGAAAGACCCUGCUUUUGCGCGGUUCUCGAUUGGCGAGCGGGGGUGUGAAACGUGAGUAACCUCCCCUUAACUGUCUGAUAACAUCAGGAAACUCCGGCGAAUACCGGAUAUAAUCUACUGCUGCAUGGGGGGGGUUGGAGAGAGUCGGCUGUUGGGGAUGGACUAGCUGCUUAUCAGCUUGUUUGGGGGGUAGGGGCUUACCAAGGCUUUGACGGGUAGCCUGCCUGGGAGGGUGAACAGCCACCUUGGGCCUGCGAGACGGACCAGAAUCCUACGGGAGGCAGUGGUGGAGAAUCUUGCGGAAUGGGCGGAAGCCUGAUGCAGCAACGCUGCGUGCGUAAUGCUGUGCUUCGGGUUGUAAACCGCUUUGGAAUGUGCCGAAGACUGAGUGACGGUAACGGGUAAAGAAGCCACGGCUAACUACGUG